rnacentral:lncRNA from 7 species
CUCUUCCCUUGGGUCAUCAACGAUUGGGGCCACAUGUCGGGUCCCUCCUGAUCGUCAUCUUCGGAUCGGAGAUAGCACCGACAACCUCGUAACAAACCCAGUGCGCCAGGGAAAUCUCAUGUGGUCGUUGCAUGCCAAGUUCGCCUUCUCGCGCCUAUAUCAUCGGGCCACCUGUUCCUCCUCCUCGUCUCGUGGGAUCGCAACCGGAGCCACCAUCUACCGGGAGGAGAGCGCCGUCGCCGCCGUAUCUUGACCUCGACGUCAAUUCUCGUCAGUCAAGCCAUGUGGUUCUCUGCGAGUGGUCUGGAAGCAUUGCAUGGAGGUAUGGAGUUAUGACGAGAUGCUUCCCGACUGGAUGAUCGGUCAGAGCUCGCCGAAUUUCUCGUCGUUACUUAACUUCAUCAACCAUCUACAGCACGUCGUGGCCGUGAGAAACUACCUUGUGAAUCCCGUGAGAGCCUUUCCCGCAGCUUCCUCAUGUCCCCAAUUCGGUAUAACCAUAUUUCGAAUAGGAAAUAGCAUUCUUAGGCGGGCUGGCCGCUGUUCCAGCCAUGGCGCCGCCACGAGUAAGCCUGUGUUGCCACUCUAGGUUAUCGGGUGGGGGAAGAGAGUGAUCUUGUUGUUGAAUACGUGAUGAACGACCGGGAUUAGAGUGUGGGGUAUAGCUGCGGUGUGAACAAUUUGGUCGUUGGAUGCGAUCUGUUCGAUUCCUAUUAGAUCUCAAUUCAUAAAACUCUGAUCGUCGAUCUUUAAUCUGACGGACGUAGCUUCAUACCGGUUCAGUAUUGAUG